rnacentral:lncRNA from 1 species
AUGUUUGCCAAAGAGUGCAAAGUUUCAGUUAGAUGGUAGGAAUCAGUUCUGGUGGUUUAUUGCAAAACAUGGUGACUAUAGUUAAUGUACUAUGUAUUUCAAAACAUCUAAAAGAAAAGAUUUUAAGUGUGCUCACUACAAAGCAAUGAUAAAUAGUUGAGACGCUGAACUUUUUAAUACUUACAUUCUUAAGUUUUUCAAGGCUUUUCUAAUAAGUCUGGCAUUCCUGCCCUUGGCAGUGUGAGAUGGAAGAUGAUGUCGCAAGGGUGGCCGAGAAGCAGCUGGGCCGAGCUGUUAAAAGCACAGAGACCGGGACCAGACUCCUCAGCCUGAAAUCCUGCUACCACCAAGUGCUAGCUGGGUAAUUUCAGGUGGAGCCCGGUUGGCAGGAAAUGUUUCUCCAGAAGCUGAGAAGCUGCCUGGUAAAGGCCUUUCAUAAAAUGGUCUGUGUUUGGGACCAGGAAGACAGAAUACUCCUCAAGAAGAGAACUGGAACCUUAACCCACUUCAGACUUCUUCAUGUCUGAAGCUUAUUUCCACCAUCCCAUUGAGAACCAAAGA